rnacentral:misc_RNA from 1 species
GUAGGUGAACCUGCGGAAGGAUCAUUAGUGAUUGCCCUCUGGGCUUAAAACUAUAUCCAUUAACACCUGUGAACCGUUUGAUUGACUCUUCUGAGUUGAUUUUACAAACAUUGUGUAAUGAACGUCAAGUUAUUAUAACAAAAAAUAACUUUCAACAACGGAUCUCUUGGCUCUCGCAUCGAUGAAGAACGCAGCAUCUGACUGACUGGAAGCUUG